UACAGAGGUGGCAAGCGUUGUUCGGAAUUACUGGGCGUAAAGGGCGCGUAGGCGGCCCGUCAAGUCCCGUGUGAAAGCCCCCGGCUCAACCGGGGAACUGCACGGGAAACUAGCAGGCUUGAGUUCGGGAGAGGGAAGCGGAAUUUCGGGUGUAGCGGUGAAAUGCGCAGAUAUCCGAAGGAACACCGGUGGCGAAGGCGGCUUCCUGGACCGUCACUGACGCUGAGGCGCGAAAGCUAGGGGAGCAAACGGG
rnacentral:rRNA from 1 species